rnacentral:rRNA from 1 species
CGGGGGGCAGCAGUGGGGAAUAUUGGACAAUGGGGGCAACCCUGAUCCAGCAAUACCAUGUGUGUGAAGAAGGCCUUAGGGUUGUAAAGCACUUUAGUCAAUGAGGAAGGGUACGCAAGUACCUUGACGUUAGUUGAAGAAUAAGCACCGGCUAACUCUGUGCCAGCAGCCGCGGUAAUACAGAGGGUGCAAGCGUUAAUCGGAAUUACUGGGCGUAAAGCGCACGUAGGUGGUUUUUUAAGUUGGAUGUGAAAGCCCUGGGCUCAACCUAGGAAUUGCAUUCAAUACUGAGAGGCUAGAGUAUGAUAGAGGAUAGUGGAAUUUCCGGUGUAGCGGUGAAAUGCGUAGAUAUCGGAAGGAACAUCAGUGGCGAAGGCGACUAUCUGGAUUAAUACUGACACUGAGGAGCGAAAGCGUGGGGAUCAAACAGGAUUAGAUACCCGAGU